GCUGUACUUUCCGACUUGUGCUGUUUGAGUUAGGCAGGCGGCGGAGGCUUCUUGCACGGGGAUACUGAGAAAUAGCCUUCAAAGGCGAUUAAGUAUGACGGAUAGUGACGGAGGGGCUCCGCGGGACUGUACGUAAAGAUGAGGAUUCAUCCGGUGUUGGCGUUUGCCAGACUGGGUGAAGUGAGAACUGAGAAGGAAACCUGCUGAGAAAAAACAACACCUGGACUGCUGGGGAGGACCUCUGUGCAGGUUCACACGGCCGUCGGCAGGGUGGAGCUUCCUGACACAUGGAGAAUUACUUCCAGGCCGAGGCCUUUAACCUGGAUAAGGUGCUGGACGAGUUUGAGCAGAACGAAGAUGAGACAGACAAUCCCAUUCUCUCGGAUGCAAAGUGGACCCAGAUCCUGGCCCCGCCCGCCCACCUGCUCUCUCUGAACCCCGCCCUGGCCCACGCAGACCUCAGCCCACAGGAGAGUCCGCUGCCCUUCAAAACUCUCCCCGACUCCUUGUCGAGCGCCUCCCCAGGGGGCGACUCUAAAAGACAUCCCGGUCCCGAACCUCCAUCCUGGGUGGAGGAGAGGCCGGCAGACGUCCACAGCCCACCCCUGCCCCAACCCAACAUCGGCAAACUGGUGGGCACAGACGACCACUCGCCGCCCCCUGUGACGGCCCGUAACGCUGUGGAGAAUGGCUGCCCUGCCAGCCCAGCAAGCCCACAACUGGAUGGGCUCAGCAAAGACACAAAUUCUCCUCCAGACAACCAGCCUUGUGCUUCUGACCAGGAGGCUAAUGGUCAUCAGGAGGAGAGAGCUGCCUCAGCAGGAGGAGGAGGAGGCUCCACUGUCAGUCACACUCACUUUACCUUUGAGGUUGCAUUGGGACCCAAAGAUGAAACUCUGUCUAUGAAGAUUCAUCCAAAUGUGCAGCCCACAACACAAAAUGGGGAAGAUGUCAAAGAGGAGGCCAGCGCUGCUGUUUUACAGGACAAUUGUAGAGAAAAACAAACUGCAAAAUUAAAAGAGGAGCAGGUAGAAAUCGUCUUGAAUAGGGGGAGCGAUGUUCAGGUUGGUUGUGAGGUGGAGGAGAAUGGUUUAUCUCCUCUUGACAGGGUUGGAGUGGAGGAGAUGGAGAGGAGAUUUGGUCCAGAGGGACAGAUAGACCAACUCCUCAAGAUUUCAAGCCUUCCCAAUGGUUUUGAGCAGGAGAGCAGUAACCAUUCCAAACUUAGGGAGACAGGAGAAGAGGAGGAGGAGGAGGAGGGUUUUUCUCCCUCUCCCGUCCCCUCGAAAGAGGACUCCGUCACUGAGGAGAAAGAAAUGGAGGAAAGCAAGCAAGAGAGCAGUGAUGGAGGAGCGGUGGGGUCCGGUAGCAUCCAGCCAAAACUCCAGAACAAUCGGCUGCAGCCGGUCAGCGUUCCCUUCGGAGGAGCACGACCGAAGCAGCCGGUCAGCCUCAAGCUCCAAAUCCCACAGCCGCUGUCGGGCCAGGUCCAAAAUCAGCUUGGCCCGUCCGCCACCAGCAGGAACAAAAACCAGGAGAACCAGUGUCGGAGGAGCACGCCCUCUGAUACUACGCCCAAUGGGACUGAUCAGAGUGCAGUCGGGGUGAACGGGGACGGUGUUGUCCACUCUCCUCCCCCGAUGCCCUCGGAGAGCCCAGACAACGACCUUCAGGCAGGCCAACAGGGCGCUCUGGGCAGGAAACCUGUCAGCUCCUUGGGGGAGGUCGCCCCUGUGUGGGUUCCUGACUCCCAGGCUCCCGUCUGUAUGAAAUGUGAUGUCAAGUUCACCUUCACCAAGAGGAGGCACCACUGCAGGGCCUGCGGGAAGGUGUUCUGUGCGACGUGCUGCAGCCUGAAGUGCAGGCUCAUGUACAUGGACAGGAAGGAGGCUCGCGUCUGUGUCACCUGUCAUUCUGCUCUGACGAGUGCUCCAUUAUGUGAGACACCGGCCACUGGAAGCAACCAGAGUCCGAACCCCAACAACCCAGCGGAGUACUGCUCCACCAUCCCCCCCCUGCAGCAGGCCCAGGCCUCUGGGGUGCUCAGCUCCCCUCCUCCUACUGUCAUGGUGCCUGUGGGAGUCCUAAAACAGGCAUGCAACGAGGGGACCAUGACACGGGAGCAGAGGAGGGUGUGGUUUGCUGAUGGGUUGCUACCCAACGGAGACACAGCAGAGUCCCCUAAACCCCCGACCUCCAGCUCAGCCCCCUCACAGUCACUGGCUAUCUCCACGUAUUCAAACAAAUCCUCCACUUCUGAAUCCUUAGAGGCAGCCCAUACCCCUGUUGGGUCGGUGGGCAGCCCCGUGGGCAGCUCCUUCAGUCUGAUCCCGGAGGACGGGCUCCCUCCCAUCCUCAUCUCCACCGGAGUCAAAGGAGGUACGGGAGGCCACAUCACAGACUAUGCAGUGGAGGAGAGGCCGUCAGAGAUCGUCCUCAUGCAGCAGCUGGAGGAGGGAAGUCCAGACCCCCUGGUCUUCGUGCUCAACGCUAACCUACUAGCCAUGGUCAAGCUUGUCAACUAUGUAAACAGGAAGUGUUGGUACGUGACGACUAAGGGCAUGCACGCCGUCGGCCAGGCAGAGGUGGUCAUUCUGCUCCAGUGUCUACCUGAUGAGAAGACAAUCCCGAAAGACAUCUUCACCCACUUUGUGCAGCUCUACCAGGAAGCCCUCAGUGGCAACGUGCUGAGCCACCUGAGUCACUCAUUCUUCACGCAGAGCUUCCUGGGCGGGAAGGAGCACGGCGGUUUCCUCUACAUCAGCCCCUCCUUCCAGUCGCUGCAGGACCUGCUGCUGCCAAACCCACCUUACCUCUUCGGCAUCCUGAUACAGAAGUGGGAGACGCCCUGGGCCAAGGUCUUCCCAAUCCGCCUCAUGCUGCGGCUGGGCGCAGAGUACCGAUUUUAUCCGUGUCCGCUGUUCAGUGUUCGCUUCAGAAAACCCCUCUUUGGAGAGACCGGUCACACCAUUAUGAAUCUGCUCGCAGACUUCCGUAACUACCAGUACACGCUACCGGUGGUAAAAGGUCUAGUAGUGGACAUGGAGGUGAGGAAGACGAGCAUUAAGAUCCCCAGUAAUCGUUACAAUGAGCUGAUGAAGGCAAUGAACAAGUCCAACGAACACGUGCUGGCCAUGGGGGCGUGUUUCAACGACCGGGCCGACUCCCACCUGGUGUGCGUCCAGAACGAUGACGGGAACUACCAAACGCAGGCCAUCAGCAUCCAUCACCAGCCUCGCAAAGUUACUGGAGCCUGCUUCUUUGUAUUCAGUGGUGCUUUGAAAGCGUCGUCGGGCUUCUUAGCCAAAACCAGCAUCGUGGAAGACGGUGUGAUGAUCCAGAUCACAGCGGAGACCAUGGACUCUCUACGUCAAGCCCUGAGGGACAUGAAGGACUUCACCAUCACAUGCGGCAAAGCUGACCAGGAGGAGAACCAGGAGCUUGUCCAGAUCGAGUGGACGGAGGACGACCACGACUUCAACAAGGGCGUCAUUAGUCCCAUUGAUGGGAAGUCCAUGGAGUCGAUCAUCAGCGUCAAGAUCUUCCAUGGCUCGGAGUUCAAAGCCAAUGGCAAAGUCAUCCGCUGGACAGAGGUGUUUUUCCUCCAGAGUGAAGAUCAACCAAACGGCCUGAGCGACCCGGCCGACCACAGUCGCCUGACGGAGAACGUGGCGAGAGCUUUCUGCAUGGCGCUUUGUCCGCACCUGAAGCUGCUGAAGGAGGACGGCAUGGCCAAACUGGGACUUAGAGUCACACUGGACUCUGACCAGGUGGGUUACCUGGCAGGAAGUAACGGCCAGCCUCUUCUGCCUCAGUACCUGAGCGACCUGGACAGCGCUCUGAUCCCCGUCAUCCACAGCGGGGCGUGUCAGCUGAGCGAGGGCCCCGUCGUCAUGGAGCUGGUCUUCUACAUCCUGGAGAUCAUCUCCUAGAAGUCUUCGGAGCUUCACCUCCAAAAAAAACGUUUUACUUUCUGACAUCAUCUCCCUCCAACCGUUUGCACUUGCAAGCCUGAAAAAGACUGUGGCGUGGCAGGCGGGGUAGCAUUCCUCAAGUCAAACCUAUGCAUCCAACCGGCCAUCUGCUUUGCUCCAGGGGCCGCCUGGGGACGGAGGAAGCUCCGAGCAGGAUCAUCUGUGUGUCCCGUGUACGUGUACCUGAACCUCGACUGACAGAAGCAGUGCACUGGAUUCUAAGCCAUUAACGGGAGAGUGAGAGCGAGCGUCGGGGUUGCCUCUGUGUCCUGGAAGACCAUGUUGGUUUUUUUUCCAACGGCAGAAAAAGUUCAGUGUUUGUAGAGAUCCAGGGUUCCUGCAGAAAUAAGAGUUUGAUUGACCUGAAGCUGAAUGUAUUUCAUCUCACAUUUCCUGCAACGUUAUCAUCCCUCCAAAUCCCUGAACUCAUGAACAUCCUGCUCCAGACUUUUCAGACCUGCACAGGAACCCUGUGGAUCCCCCCAAAAAAAAUAAAGGCCUCAACUGUUUUAGUGCAUCUGUAAAACCGAUGGCUGCAGCCCGUCUCUUUCUGCUCUGGACUGUGCUCUCCUUCAGCAACAUGGACCUGGAAAAAAAUAUAUAAGAAUGUAUCCCUCCUGUUUCUGUUAAAAUCUGCAAAAUGUGUAUUUUGUUUCUGGCUAGACUAAUCACCAAAAACCACCCUGUCAUGUCAAAAUGCUCUGUACAGUAAUCAUUCUGCAUUAUGGCAAUUUCUCCAUCUUUAAUCAUGCUAAUGUAAAACCAGAAGGGGCUACACAAAAAGUGCUGUUAACACAGUACGAGGGGUUUGUUGAAGCAUCUUAUCGGUAAGAAAACAAUCUCGUCAUCACAUUUGAAAAUCAGACAAUCACAUGGAAAUCUGCAGACUAGCCGCCGCUUCUAAAUUAGAUCUGUAGCUGUUCUGUAUUCGUUACACAAUUUGAAGUAUUUUAGGAGCCACUGUAGCAAAGUAUUGUCAGUGAAGCCGAUUUGAAAAUGUUUAGUAAAGACUGAACGAGAGGUCAAAAGGUCACCAGUUCUGGGUUUAUUACUGUGAUCAUACCAGAGUCGGUGUAUCUCAAUCACUGUGUCUUCACUGUGUGACGUUCAUCAGCCGCCGCCGGCAGUUCUGUUUUUUUAAAUUAGCAUUAAUGAAGAGGAGACGUGAGGAUUUAUUUUUCUGACUUCCUGUUUUCUGUUACGUUUUAUUUUGGCAUUAUCUGACGUGUGCAAUAUGUCCUAAAUCCAAAAGAAAAAAGGUGCAAUUUGUUUGACUGAAAAAGUAGCAUUAUUUUUUUGUAUUCAGUUGUAAGAUGUUCCGAUCCAAACGUAUAACACUGCAUGCAAACGAGCUUGAGUCCAUGAAGAGAGCAAAUCAACUUAGCAUUUUAACGGUUAUAUCUUCUAGUUUGUGGAUGAAACAAAAAUGAAUCCACUCAUUCAGUUCCGUCAUUGCCUGGGUUUUGUUAAAAUAAUUUUCUUUUUCCUUUUUUUAAUAAACAGUCAAAAAAGUUUGAAAAGCCAAAAACCCUGUCCUUUUUUCUUUUACACUCUAAAUGUCAAGAAAAGUGGUCUUUAUCAAAAAACUGUAGUAUAUGUAAAAUAAAAACUUAUAGAAAAUUAACAUGAGUGCUUAGUUUUUGCCUUUUAUUCAGGUUCUUCAACUGUUUGAUUCCUUAAUCAGAUUUUAUUUUUUUACUGAAAGAAAAAACUUGACAGUGCAAUACAAGAUCAUUUAAAUUGGUAUAUUUUUAAGCAGGAAAGACAAAUUUAAUCCAGAAUUAAAAACAAAAUAAAGCCUCGAUUCUGUUUUAGAGAUUAUUAUAACAGAGAUUAUCAUUCUGUAAAUAUAAACAGCCAGACAUCAUCAAUCUUUGUAAACAAGUAUGUUUUAACAAAUAAAAUGAUGGGUAACCAAGUUUCAUUAUUUAGGGCAAUGUUUCUGGUAAACUUAAGGUUGCAUUGAUCCAUGAUGUUUUUAGCGAGAAACGGAAAUGUUGGGACCACAGUGUCGUCUCACAACUAAAGAAUGUUGAAGACAGUUUUGAGGUAAACCUGUUGGUAAAAUGGUCUUAAUGUUGGCUCAGUGUGUUUCUUAUGGCUUAUGUGUAGCAUUUAUUACGAUGCUGCAGUAAAGGGUCAGUUCACUCAAAUUGAGGAAAGUGUUUUUUUACUCCAACAGCAGCGUGUCUUUUUAGAAACAAUGUUCUGGUUACUCUUUAUAACUCUUGACGUACGGUCCAUGUAGUAGCUGUUCUGGAGCUUUUUUCUUUUAAUUAGAUCGGUAAAUGUGUACUUAAAAGACUUCUCGUCCAUUCAUAGGUUAAAGUUGAGAUUAGAAAGUUCAUUGUUGUGCUUAGUUAUUUCUAAGGUUGGAAAAAAACAAUUUACAAUCUCAACACUGUUCUCAGAUGUGAUUUUUCAAACUGCAGCACCAAAAAAUUGAAUCGCAUUGUUUAAAAUCGCAGCAGAUAAGGAAAUAGAAAGCCUUUUUUAAAUUUGUGUGAGCUCGCCCUUUUAAAAAAAAGAA